AUUGAACGCUGGCGGCAUGCUUUACACAUGCAAGUCGAACGGUAACAGGUUAAGCUGACGAGUGGCGAACGGGUGAGUAAUGCAUCGGAACGUGCCCGGUCGUGGGGGAUAACGCAGCGAAAGCUGCGCUAAUACCGCAUACGAUCUGAGGAUGAAAGCGGGGGACCGUAAGGCCUCGCGCGAUCGCAGCGGCCGAGGUCAGAUUAGGUAGUUGGUGGGGUAAAGGCUCACCAGGCCAACGAUCUGUAGCUGGUCUGAGAGGACGACCAGCCACACUGGGACUGAGACACGGCCCAGACUCCUACGGGAGGCAGCAGUGGGGAAUUUUGGACAAUGGGCGAAAGCCUGAUCCAGCAAUGCCGCGUGCAGGAAGAAGGCCUUCGGGUUGUAAACUGCUUUUGUACGGAGCGAAAAGGUCUCCUCUAAUACAGGGGGCUCAUGACGGUACCGUAAGAAUAAGCACCGGCUAACUACGUGCCAGCCGCCGCAAGUAA
rnacentral:rRNA from 1 species